rnacentral:lncRNA from 1 species
GGAGCCGGAAGCUGGACUUGGCACAUUUUCUUGAGUUUAGAAGGUGUAAAACGUUCAGAUUUCUCACCUGUCAACAACGUCCUACACAGCCAAACCUCCUAAAAAGCACAGUAGAAUAAAGCAAGGAUACCAUAAACAGGAAGAAAACAGUUGGACAUCGGUACAGCUUCUUGUGUUCUUCUGAGGGAGGCGCAGCAGAUCACACAUGUGCUACACAACUUCGGACCAUACGAAGUCGCCGAGUCCAAGGCUGAAAAACUUGUGACCAUUACUUACCCACUGGAAGUGAGCAGGAGUAAACUGGCAUCAGUGUUAUCAAAAGAUAAUCCAACAUGA